rnacentral:tRNA from 1 species
GUAGCUCAGUGGUAGAGCGCUUGUCUUGCAUGCAUGAGGCCCUGGGUUCAAUUCUUCAGC